UGAAGGCAGAGAGAAGAGGAAAGAAAUAGCCAGCUGUGCGCCAUCCCUGUCAGCACUUCUAGUGGCCUGCGGCCACACCCUCCCGAGGUACUCAGCCAGCUCUUCACUGGCAGCAGGGAAAAGCUGAGUCUCUCCAGUUCUUAGGCUCCAUAUCUAGAGGUAAAUGGCCCAGAGAUUUUUCUGAGGGCAUUCCUUAUUCUUCAUUUGAUGGCAUGAGCACCAAGAAGACAGGAGCCGAGAAACAUUACCAUUUUUGGAACAAAGUGACAAAGGAAAACAGAAAGAGACAGAAGGUCACCGGGCCACCUCCAGCCAGGCCAGCAGAACACCAGGGCGGUAUAGAAAGACAAAGGACAUCUCAGUAAGCUGGACCAGGGAUCCGGAGGGGCAGGGUCUUCCAGUCUCCCAUCCCUGUUCUUCUGACCUCACCCCCUUCCUCCUGUGCCUGUUCUCCAUCCCCCUUCCUGCUCUGGAUCACAGAGCAGGUCUCCCACCACCCACCACCAAGCCUCCCUCUACCCUUUGGUGCCAGAGUCACGGCCAGCCUGGCCCAGUCAUCCCUGGACGUGGGGUAGGGCCACACCUUAGAAAGUGACUUCCCAGCCUCUUUGUCCCUCGGGGACAGGGACAGCUAGGUUCUGGGCAGUCACUCUACAUAGAGCCCUGAUGACCUCUUAUAUGUUUGGCCCGCUUGUGCCUCUCAACUCUUACUAUGUCUUAGAGUCCAGGAAAUGUCAGGAAGCAUUUUCAAUAUCUGCCUUGGCCACCCCAGCAGCUAGAGACAGAAAUCCGUAUGUUACAAAGUCCCCUGGCUUUGCCUGUGACUGCUCUAUGGUGAUCCGGGUAUUGUUAUGCCCUGACUAUUCCAAGCCCUUGGGAGUGCUACAUCUUAGUCUCUUCACUCUUAGCCAUUCUUUGCCUAGGGAAUAUUUCCCACCUCCCCAGGCCCAGUUUAAAUGCUACCACCUCCAUGAUAUUUCCCUGAUUCUACCUACCAGAUGAAAGCCUUGAGUUAUUCCUUUAU
rnacentral:lncRNA from 1 species